GGCAAUCAUUGUUACCGGAAAUCCUUUCCCGAGUGCUUUCAUAUAGUUUAGUUGUUUAACUCGGUUGUCAAAGUGGAAACUCGAAGAAUAUACGGUAUUGGGCAGCUACAAGUCACCUUCCGCUGUGGAACUGAGUCCAUGGUCCGAAGAGAUACAGCCAGAGAAUUUCACGUGACAGCACUACAACAUGGCAGCCAAUAGGAGUACAACUUUGAAUUUCAACAUCGGGGUACUCGGACAUGUGGACAGCGGCAAGACGUCGCUGGCUCGAGCGUUAAGCAGCACCGCGUCCACGGCUGCCUUCGAUAAAAACCCUCAGUCCCGAGAAAGAGGCAUCACCCUAGACCUCGGCUUCUCCUCCUUCACCGUGGACCUUCCCGAGCACCUGCGAGACAGCGAAGACCACCGGGGGCGUUACGACAACCUGCAGUUCACCUUGGUGGACUGUCCGGGACAUGCCUCUCUCAUUCGGACAAUCAUUGGAGGGGCGCAAAUCAUCGACUUGAUGAUGCUGGUGGUGGACGUGGUGAAAGGAGUGCAGACUCAAACAGCAGAGUGUCUGCUCAUCGGAGAGCUGACCUGCCCUCGCAUGGUGGUUGUGCUUAACAAGACUGACCUUCUGCCGGCCAACAAGAGACAGAGCGCGAUUGAGAAAAUGACCAAGAGACUUCACAAAACACUGGAGAACACCAGUUUCAAAGAUUGUCCAGUGAUUGCAGUGGCAGCCAAGCCCGGGGGCCCCGAGGGUGGCGACACAGAGGAACCACAGGGGGUGUCCGAGUUAAUCGAGCUAUUAAAAAAGCAGACUUAUCUCCCACGGAGAGAGCCAGGAGGUGACCUGCUGAUGGCUGCGGACCACUGCUUUUCCAUCCGUGGCCAGGGAACAGUCAUGACCGGCACCAUCCUGCAGGGGUCACUAGCCAUCAACGACACCGUAGAAAUCCCAGCACUGAAGGUGACUAAGAAGGUAAAGUCGAUACAGAUGUUUCGGAAGCCAGUGUCGGGGGCCAUGCAGGGAGACCGCGUGGGUGUGUGCGUGACACAGUUUGACCCAAAGUUGCUGGAGCGGGGGCUGGUGUGCACCCCGAGCUCCCUGCGCACCGUCUUCGCCGCCGUCAUCUCCGCCAAGAAGAUCGGCUACUUCAAGGGUUCCCUCGGCACGCGGGCCAAGUUCCACAUCACGGUGGGGCACGAGACGGUCAUGGCACGGGUGACUUUCUUUGGAUUGCCGCCAGACGCGCCGCAGCCCCGCUCGCCAGAAACGGCCUUCGCCUUCGACAGGGAGUACCUCUACCAAGAAGAAUACGUCACUGGCCAGGGAGAGUCCAACUCGGGACCCGACCCAGAGCAGUGGGCCUUGUUGGAGUUUGAGCGGCCCGUCACGUGCCCCUUACUGUGCCUGGUGAUUGGCUCCAAGCUGGACACGGACAUCCACGCUAAUGCGUGCCGCUUGGCCUUCCAAGGGCGCCUGCUGCACGGCUUUGAAGAUAAAGGCUAUGCUGAGACGGGCCUCCCUCGCCUGCUCAUCUAUAAGACCAAACACAAGGAAGGGCAAGUGGAAAGGGUGGCCGACGACUACACUGUGAUUGGCCGCAGCCUGUUCAAGAAGGAAACAAACCUGCAGAUCUUCGUGGGCCUGAAGGUCACGUUGUCGACGGGCGAAACCGGCGUCAUCGAGGGCGGGUUUGGACAGAGCGGGAAGUUCAAAAUUCGGGUACAAGGGCUGUAGAGGGGAAGCCAUGUGAGAUAUCUCGCCAUCCCUCAUUCCAAUCACCUCUCGCUGCAUGCCCUCUGCUCAGGUUCAUUUGUAUUGACGACUUGUUACUCCUCUGUGGCACACGGGGACGUCUCCGGGCAAAGAGCCAAUGAGACAAGACCAGGACGCUUCGGCACCAAUUCGUGAUGUAGGAAAAGGUAAACGUGGCCGUCAGAUACGGGAGGAAAAUAGAAAGACAAGCAUGAUCUUUGGCAGAUAAUCCCGAACCUUAUUGAAUGUCACAGCACUUCUCCUUCCGUCUUCUCUUUAUAUCCUUCUCUGGUUUCAUGCGACUCAGUGUGUGGUAGCGCUCGCCCAGCUAGAGGCCAAGUGUUCGGUCUGUGUGUGCGUGCAUGUGGGAGUAUGUGUUUGGUCUGUGUGUGCGUGCAUGUGGGAGUAUGUGUGCGUCUGUGCGCACGAGGAUUUGUUCCAGAUUGUGUGCGCUUUAACCCACAUUGUUAAAAACUAAGCUCGACUCAUCCCGGUAGAAGUGAAGCUAUGCGGCAGUGACUUUUCCUGUGAAAGAAUUAUAGGUCUUCCUUUUUUGUGUAAAAGGUUCAUGGAUUGGGUUUUGCGUCAAUGCUAAACAAUUACGAUGCAUAAUUAUUUCAUUCUGUCAAAUUAAAGACUGAAUAAGAUGGAGAGAGGAAAUAAACAAUUGUGAAAUAGGAUGACUGUCUGUCAAGGCCCGUGUCAUAUUAUUGUCACAAACUAAUUGUAAUUUUUUUUAGGAAAGCAAGGUCAAUAAAAAUAAAAAUCCUGGAUUAGCACUUUAAUGCAGAUUUUUUACCAAAACCCCUCGGCCACCCAGUGCACUAGAAUAAUAAUCCAUAUUCUCGUAAAAUGAAUCAUAUUUGCCCUUGUUAAAACCACAGCUAUGAGGCAGCAGAACCACGUAAUAUCUCCUUCCUAAUUACCAGAUUAAUUAUUCAAAAAGUAAUAUUCAGGUAUGGGAAGCAAUAACCACUCAUUUUAUUUAGAACCGGCUCCCAGUAAUUGUAUUUGUAGAACUAGUUAGGUUGCCUGACAAUCCCACCCAUCGACUAAAACCGCUCUAAUUGGCUCGGCUGCAUGGGUGUAAUUCGGCCAAUGCGGUAGAGGAGAAAGCAGGGAGCAAGAGGAGGAGAUAGGGGAAAGAAAGGACCAAUGCUGCGAUCCGGCCAUAGGUAAGAUCGCUUGAAGCGAUCGAGACAGAAGAGCGUGGAGGUGAAGAAAAUUCAAACUCGCUACCGGCGAGUUUGCUCUGAUGCUCACCUUUCUUGGAAGUGCCCCUGAGGGGGCUCCCGCAACUUUAUGUCUGAAUUAGAAAAGGAGUACUGUAAAUAUUUCCAAAUGUUAAAAGCCAAAAUGUCAUAUUGGGUCUUAGAUUGGGAAUUUCACCUCCCCCACCCCCAAGGAUACAUUACAGAUUAGUGCGUGCUAGAUAAAAUGAAGCUAAAUUUAGUUUAUGCAAAACAAGAAACAGUUUCUAACAUACCGAGAUAAUAAAACACUUUGUUAUCUGACGUUUCCAAAAGAAGAAAAGCAGAUAAAGCCACAGAUGUCAAUGAAGCUUUUGCAUGAUUCGCAUCCCGUGCGCACACGUGUCUGACAGGCGUCCACAUGGCAACACUUGGAUAACCUCUAUGAAGCAAAAAUAACUGGACAUUUCAAAGCAGGCAUGGAGGAAUUAUGCAAAAUUAAUUUUGUUUACUAUUUUUUUAAUUGUACAAAUAUUGUGUCUGCAAAUAACAAGUGCGCAAAUAAUUAUUCAACCAGUAAUUGGACUCAUUAUUAUUCAUACUGUAUAAACCAGACUGUGUAAAUUUCUGAACUGAUGCUAGCUCUUUGUUAAUCGAGGACGACUUCAGGAAAGAAUGCAUGACUAAUCCCGUCUCUUACCUAUACGGGUCCCGUCCGUCCUUAUCGCUUUCCUAUACGUUUCCACAUGCGUACUCAGUUUAACAUGCAGCCCUGUGUAAAAUGACCCAUCAUGGACCGGCAGCUUUGUUGGCAUGACAAAGCAUGCGGCGAGCACUCAAAUAACAAAUUACGGUGUUGCAUAAAACUGCCGCCACUGUUUGUGAGAGCUGACAGCGACUUUCUCAGAGUUAGUGCAAUGACUCAAUCAAUUCAUAAAUACAAUCAAUUACAAUUCCCUUUCUAAAGAGGUCUCACCUUGGACAAAGUGUAACGAAAUAAUUUGUUUUGGAUAGGUCCUGUGCUGCCCCUCUGGGCCUGUUUCAUUGUGUCUAAGUGGAUUAGCAUAGACAGACAGUGAUGGAGCCAGAAGGAGAUUAAUGCUAUUAGUACCUGCACACGGAGCAGCACUGAUCAAUUGUCAAUCCAAAUGUAUUUUGGCCAAGACUCACUGGUGAUAAAGACUUUGAAAUGAACAGCACUUUGCCCUCCACGUGAUAAGCAUUUCUCAAAGGGCAGUGCGUUCCCGAUCCGAAGGAGAGACUUCACUUAACUUGUAUGAGUGUUAUUGAUAAUCAAUUUACUGAUGGAAUCUGAUCAGAAAACGGCUUUGCAUCGAGCAUCAUCGAGCUAGAAUAUAGGCUAAAGAGAUUUGUUUCGUUCCCAGCAUAAUUUGGUGAUAUCCGUUUCCUGGAAGAAAUUCCAAUGUAGAGGAGAAAUCCCAUGGACAAAAAAAAGGAGAAUAUGUGAUUUGCAAUCUCUUGUGUGUCCCACCAUCGCGAUAACCUUCGUGUCUGGCCUCCAUUAUCUUCUAAAAGAGGACAUCAUUGGAUUAAGCGCUGGCCCAAACAUCUGAUAUGUAACGGAUACCUGACAUUAUUAAUUACUACUAAGUACAAUUACAGUAGAAGAGAAAAUGGGAAUAACACCAACAGUAAUGGACCUUGAUUUUUUUGGGGCAUAACCAUUUCCGGGAAUAACAGUAGUUUGUGUUUCUCAUAUGUGACGUAAUGUUGUGGUUUGUCUGUGUUUAGCAUUACAUGCAUUUUAAAGCCAGGUUGCCUGUUAGCUUAGAUUCAAUUGCAAAUCAGUGACCUUUUAGCCAAAAAAACGACAUUGCAUGAAAUAAACCAUAAUGAUUUCUUCACUAUUGUUAUGUCUCAAAGGUGUGAUUGCUAUAUUAUGCCAUUAGUCUGAAAGCAGCUGCCGGAGCGUUUGAAAGGAAUCGUCGAUGAAGAUGUUCCUGCGCAAAGCGGAGUCUGGAACACAGUGCAAGUGUUGCCGUUCAUUUGUCACGAGAUGGAUUGCAGUCAUUGCGAGCAAAAGCUUUUCAUUUGACUCCGGUGUGGUAAUUAGGUUUCAAUUGGCUGUGCUCACUAAGAGGAAUGGGUAAUGAAGUUAGCCGACGCACGGGGGCUGCGUGUGUGUGGAGAGGCGCCGGGAGUAGUUUGGGUCAGUACAUUUAACAGUCUGCCUCUUAUACUCUAAUUCAUUGUGUAAUGCUGUUUAUUGUGCGUAUCGCGGGCCUUUUAUGCUCCCGUUAAGUGGGCCCGGCACAUUACUGUAAUGGGGAUGAGGCAUGAAAACAGUGAAACCUGAGCUAGUGCUUCUCCUUGACUUCCUCCUCUCAUGUCUUUAUAAUAUUCCUCUCAUAACGCUGCUUCCGUCCCAUUGGUUGGUCACGUCCCCGACGUCUCCUUGCCGUGAUGUCCAAACUGUGUUGAUGUCAUUAAUGGCAGAGGACAGAACGUAGAAGUGUCAAGUUACCCGGCAAGGAGAGCGCAAGACAGAAUGUGUGGCUCAAGUGAGCUGUUAAAGAAAGCGAUGAUAAUUAAUUGCAUCAAAUGAGUCUUGUGUGCACAUUAUGGACAUGUGGUCAUGUGACUAAAAAGAAUUGUGUGGACACUGUGGGCUGAGCUACUGUAUAUGAUUUGUGUGUGUGCGCGCGUGUGUGCUUGAGGCAGUGGGCACAUUAGCCACAUGACGACCUCGUCGUGACCCCUGAGAAGCGUGUAGGCGCCGGGUUCAGUCUGACUCUUGUCACAUGAUCCCCUGAAGCCCCCCCCCACCCAUCAAAACCUCCAUUAUUCACAAUGGAGUAUUAAUCUGAACAACACACACACACAUGCAUACGCACACAUUUCGGCAAGGAAAUAUGACCAAAUAAAAUAAAAUAGAAACUCAUCUUUGGAAUCUUAGACCUUUCAUAGGAGUUGAGCUCAUGCCUCACGAAUGAUAGAAAGAGUCGCUGACCAUGGAAAUGUCCUCUGACUCAAGUCGAUAGGGUUCAAGUACGUAUGAAAUUUAACCUCGACCAAUCAACAGCAGUGUAAAAAAGGAGAAAAACAGAUUAGUAUUUAUUUGUUGAUCGAAUGUUGCAUAAAAAAAAUCAAGGCGAGGUGUCAAAGCCACAAAUGGUGUCACUCAAUCCACAUUGUUGCUGCAGUGUGUGGCUCAAGGCGAUGGAAGUAUUUUCUGAAAUAACAAUAAAAAGGACAAUGUGAGGGUGAGCACUUGGAUCCUGUGUGUUACACGAAAGAUCAAGUUUAGAGGAGCUCCGAACAUCAUUUCACUCUUGACUAUAAACUGAGUGAGUGUGUCAAAUAUGUCAUAUUGUUAUGUACAGGUGUAUGCUAAUACUGUAAUUGAGUCAAAGUGUUUAUGAAAGUGACAUUGUGUGGAGGCUUCUUGACUUGCAGCAGUUGUGAAUUCCGAACAGUGAUUUGUGUCCAAAGCACAAGUCUCUGCUGAAGAUGACAAAACAUCCUUCUUAUAUCGCCGCCGUAAAGCGCACAAUACAACAGGGUGUUGUUGGUCAGCGCAACAAUGGCACUGAAAUGAAAGAUGUGAAGAAUCUAGUGUGGACAGAUGAAGGGGGAAGGGCUUCCAGUGCAGCAGUAGUAGAAGCUGCAGGUGAGAGGGAUCCGUGUCUGUCUUUUCUUUUAUCGCCACUCUUUCUCCUCUCAGCGCUCACGUCGAUGUCUCCAGUUUCCAUUGGCCCCGUUUCCAUCACUCGACCCCUCGCCCCACCUACGUGUGUGAAAGUUGUUGUUUCAUCUUCACACAAUGCUGCGAAGCAAUACAAGAUGGCUUGAGUUCCUUUUUUGAUCAAAUGUCAUCAAAUGGCAAUCCUGCGUACAAAAUGCUUGAUGUAUAAAAUAUACGUCAGAGAUGUGGAGGGGUUACGAUGCCACGCAGUUUGUAAAUUAUAAACAGUAUAGAAAAAAAAAGCAAUAAAAAGGAGAGGAAAUGAAAAGCAGCUUGAUGGCGGAAGAUGAUAAGUCAUGCAGUUGUCACAAAGGCAGUCAGCUCAAAGUGAGAAGGAGGACGUCACAGCUCGAUUCUUGCCAUCACAUGCAAAUGCGUGUUUGACGUACAGUACUACGAUUGUCCCAGUUCAGUGUAGCAAUAUGGAUUUGCACCAUUAUCUGAAUCUUCUUACUGAUUUACAGCCAACCUUUCACUUAUUAAAACCAACCAUAUAAGUACAGAUGGGAAAAAUUGAUUAACCUCUUAAGAAAGAACUACUGUGCUAUUUUGAUACUGUUCGACAAUUGGAAUAAAUUUGUCUGCUGCUUCAUGUAUCGCUGGAUAUCAUGAAUUUAGGAUCGUGACAGUACAUCUCUUUAACGGCCUAGAUAUGUCGCCGCUCAGAUUUCCUGAGGGCUGAGCCUUGGGCUUUUUGUCAACUGUGUUAUAAGAUAGUGGACAAAGACGCCCAGUCCCAAGGGGCCCACACACACACACACUCGCAGGACUUUGGCCGAGUGAAACACCGUGCACCGCCUCCCUCUCGGCGCGACUCUCCCUCCUCCUGUCAGCGGUGCAAGCGACAGGAGAAAAGAGGUGAUUGUUCGGAAACAAGAGGGAUAAAUUUGUCUGCCUCGGACAGGUGAAGAAAAGCGGUCUGAAAGGGACUUGUCAGUGGAUGUGGUUUGAGAGUGUCCCACUUUCCAGUGGGAAUGCUCUGUGUCAACUUCUUCUGUGACUGUACUUUCAUGAGCAGAGCUUGCUUUCACAGUCACUGUCCAAUUUAAAACUCAAGUUCAAGACUGUUGGCUUUAAAUAAUCAGGAAACACUAUGUAUUGUUCAGAUGAAACCCAGGUGCAGCAAAUACAGUCAAAACAGUAGGCGUCCCAAAAUGGAACCCUGUGGUACACCAUACAACAGCGAUGGCCUUUACUAAACCACUUCAAGUUUGUAAUUAAGCCCAGCGGCUUAUCUGUGAAGAUCAAAGUUCUGUGUAUUCAUUUGUUGUGUGGGACACUUUUCAUAAAGCUUUCUUUCUCUCGCCCUUUCUUGUUGUGUGGUUUUGGUAUUACUGUAUUCAAAUCCUAGCAAAGUCUUAACCUUUGUGUACUGCCACCCAAAUGUCACUGAAACUCGGCCCAGUUUGUGCAGUUGAUGGCGCUUUAGAGUCUGCUGCUGCUGGAUAGGAAACAGUUACUUCAUAGUUGGGAUUGGACCUUAAUUACCCCAGGGGAAGUGAUACGGAUAUUCUAGAAAUCAAGGGUCAUUUCGGCAUAGUAAUUGUUUCGAACCACUCCCUCUUCCUUUUCCGGGGUAUAUUCUCAUUUCUAAUUCUCCAAGAUAAGAUGUUGAGUGUGAAUAAUAGUAUUUGAUCUUUCUGAUGGUUGGACAUUGUUUUGCGAUUCAGGACGCACUGUAUAGUUUGUCUGUUGUGUCCUGACAGUCUCAGAGAAGAAAAAGGUGCCCUUCUUUCAUCCAUUAUCAUUUCAUCAUUUUUCUUCUGCUACUUCACUUCUCUAAAAUCAUUCCUGACUUUGUCACGGAGUUCAAUAAUUGAGUUAGCUAGAAAAACAAAUGGAACGAACAGGGAGGAUGUGUGUACAAAGUUGUACGCUGGAAAUAUGAAGAUUGCUUAUGAGUUGAUUUACAAUGGCCACCCAGUCCCAAAGUUACUCUUUCCGUUCUUUCUAAAAGUGCCUCCUUGUUUUGCUUUGUCGUGUUUUGGGAGAGGGGGGGACGUGACAUUUUAAUUGUGUCUAUGAAUAAUUCCAAGAGCAAUGUGGGAGGGCCCAGAAGAAAGACGGAAUAAGUGCCUUUAGGGUCAAGGGUCGGGGAAAUGUUGAGGGGCGACCAUGCGCUGCACUUGAGUUGAACUGUGUCAUCAUGCAGGCUUCCCGCUUGCAUAUUUGUCUUAUUUGUUUGGGCUUGUAUUUUACUCAUCUUUGACCUCAGUAUGGUGUGAGAGGUUUUUUUUUUUGGUGCUAUUUUUGUUGGGAUGUGACAAUGAAGUUUUAAGUGCCAGAUAGAAGAAGCAGAUACGUUUGAAGUUGAUAUCUUUAUUUCAUGAGUAUAAAGGAUGGCCAGGUCAGAAGAAAGCGCUUUAGCUAAAAAAUAUAGUCAGAACGGGGACAACAUAAUAUAAUCAAGGAACAAAGCAGAGAAAAUAAAUUAUCUGAAUAGCAAUAAUUAUAAUAACAGUAAUUACAAUUAACAAUGUCAAAUUAUAAAUCAUAAAGCAUUUUUUGUUUGUUUGCUUAGUAUUUCGUAAUUUUCUGUGAUGACAAAAAGCAAUUCCAGCAUUUAUUUUUAAUGUAAUGUAACAAAGUUCAUCACGUUCUUCUAUACAAUAUUCACAGUUGCUAUAAACAUAUCCGCACCAACUGAACCACAAUGCUGUCAUGUUGUCAAUCCGUUGAAGUCAGAAGCUUUGACAUAUAUAUAUUUUUUUCUUUUACCGUGCGUGUUUGCGUGUGUGUGUGUUUGUAUCGGGCCGACAGGAAGUAUGUCUGUCUGCCUCCGUUAAGAGUUAGGUACCUCGACGUUGGCCUUAUUUCAUACCGUUUGCAUAAUCAAUCAGAAUCACUCAAAUGUCUGUACAUAGUGUGUCAUCCAACGUGACCCGCCUCAGCCCAUGGCCGUCACCAUGUUGGAGUGGUGCGGGUGGCCAAAGGAAGGGUGUAUCGGUGUGGGAGUGGGCAGCAUGUGU